rnacentral:rRNA from 1 species
UGGCGGCGUGCUUAACACAUGCAAGUCGAACGGAGUGUAGCAAUACACUAGUGGCGGACGGGUGAGUAACACGUGAGCAACCUGCCCUAUACAACGGGAUAACACAAAGAAAUUUGUGCUAAUACCGUAUAAGACCCCGCUAAGGCAUCUUAGAGAGGUCAAAGCGUUAGCGGUAUAGGAGGGGCUCGCGGCCCAUUAGCUAGUUGGUGAGGUAACGGCCCACCAAGGCGACGAUGGGUAGCCGACCUGAGAGGGUGAACGGCCACAUUGGAACUGAGACACGGUCCAAACUCCUACGGGAGGCAGCAGUGGGGAAUAUUGGGCAAUGGAGGCAACUCCUGACCCAGCAACGCCGCGUGAAUGAAGAAGGCCUUCGGGUUGUAAAGUUCUUUAGUGAGGGACGAACAAAUGACGGUACCUCGAGAAUAAGCCACGACUAACUACGUGCCAGCAGCAGC